AGCAGCCUCCGUAAUUCCAGCUCCAAUAGCGUAUAUUAAAGUUGUUGCAGUUAAAAAGCUCGUAGUUGAAUUUCGGGGUUCUACCGUUGGUCGGGCUUUGUCUGUACUGGCGUGUAGAAUUUCUACCUUCUGGGGAACCAUCAUGUUAUUAAUUUAACGUGGUGGGAAACCAGGACCUUUACCUUGAAAAAAUUAGAGUGUUCAAAGCAGGCUUAUGUCUGAAUACAUUAGCAUGGAAUAAUAGAAUAGGACGGUGGUCCUGUUUUGUUGGUUUCUGAAUCACCGUAAUGAUUAAUAGGGAUAGUUGGGGGCAUUAGUAUUCAAUUGUCAGAGGUGAAAUUCUUGGAUUUAU
rnacentral:rRNA from 1 species